UGGGGAAUUUUGGACAAUGGGGGAAACCCUGAUCCAGCCAUCCCGCGUGUGCGAUGAAGGCCUUCGGGUUGUAAAGCACUUUUGGCAGGAAAGAAACGUCAUGGGUUAAUACCCCGUGAAACUGACGGUACCUGCAGAAUAAGCACCGGCUAACUACGUGCCAGCAGCCGCGGUAAUACGUAGGGUGCAAGCGUUAAUCGGAAUUACUGGGCGUAAAGCGUGCGCAGGCGGUUCGGAAAGAAAGAUGUGAAAUCCCAGAGCUCAACUUUGGAACUGCAUUUUUAACUACCUGGCUAGAGUGUGUCAGAGGGGGGUGGAAUUCCGCGUGUAGCAGUGAAAUGCGUAGAUAUGCGGAAGAACACCGAUGGCGAAGGCAGCCUCCUGGGAUAACACUGACGCUCAUGCACGAAAGCGUGGGGAGCAAACAGG
rnacentral:rRNA from 1 species